rnacentral:rRNA from 1 species
UCGCGGCCUAUCAGCUUGUUGGUGAGGUAAUGGCUCACCAAGGCGACGACGGGUAGCCGGCCUGAGAGGGUGACCGGCCACACUGGGACUGAGACACGGCCCAGACUCCUACGGGAGGCAGCAGUGGGGAAUAUUGCACAAUGGGCGAAAGCCUGAUGCAGCGACGCCGCGUGAGGGAUGACGGCCUUCGGGUUGUAACCCUCUUUCAGUAGGGAAGAAGCGAAAGUGACGGUACCUGCAGAAGAAGCGCCGGCUAACUACGUGCCAGCAGCCGCGGUAAUACGUAGGGCGCAAGCGUUAUCCGGAAUUAUUGGGCGUAAAGAGCUCGUAGGCGGUUUGUCGCGUCUAUCGUGAAAGUCCGAGGCUCAACCUCGGAUCUGCGGUGGGUACGGGCAGACUAGAGUGAUGUAGGGGAGACUGGAAUUCCUGGUGUAGCGGUGAAAUGCGCAGAUAUCAGGAGGAACACCGAUGGCGAAGGCAGGUCUCUGGGCAUUAACUGACGCUGAGGAGCGAAAGCAUGGGGAGCGAACAGGAUUAGAUACCCUGGUAGUCCAUGCCGUAAACGUUGGGCACUAGGUGUGGGGGACAUUCCACGUUUUCCGCGCCGUAGCUAACGCAUUAAGUGCCCCGCCUGGGGAGUACGGCCGCAAGGCUAAAACUCAAAGGAAUUGACGGGGGCCCGCACAAGCGGCGGAGCAUGCGGAUUAAUUCGAUGCAACGCGAAGAACCUUACCAAGGCUUGACAUGUGCCAGACCGCCGUGGAAACACGGUUUCCCCUUUGGGGCUGGUUCACAGGUGGUGCAUGGUUGUCGUCAGCUCGUGUCGUGAGAUGUUGGGUUAAGUCCCGCAACGAGCGCAACCCUCGUUCUAUGUUGCCAGCACGUGAUGGUGGGGACUCAUAGGAGACUGCCGGGGUCAACUCGGAGGAAGGUGGGGACGACGUCAAAUCAUCAUGCCCCUUAUGUCUUGGGCUUCACGCAUGCUACAUGGCCGG